rnacentral:lncRNA from 1 species
CGGCUGGACGAUGCAGAAUGAAGAAGACGAGUUUGAUCCUGAAUCACCUUGGUGGAUGGGUGAUGUAUGGAAAUGUCAAACUUUAAAGGAGAAGCCAACUAUAUAGCUCAUUCUCUAUGAUUUAACGGUGUGAAAAUAACGGGAAAAAGUCCGUUUUUCAUCUCGUUGAGACGUUUUCGUUUUAUAGAAAUUUUUUUAUGUAGAUAUUUCAGUUUCUUUUCGUUAAUUCUAACGAAAGUUGAUAAAAGUGAAUAAAAUUACCUAUUUUUCAUUUGAUAUACGCCAAAACUUUAAAGUGAAUUGUUUCAAAACAGUUGUAAUGCGAGAACUACAAUGAGCUGUGAAGCUUUUCGAAAAAUCCUGGUGAUUAAGAAUGAUGAGAACUACUCACUGCAUGUGAAAUAUCAAGCUAUUUCACAAUAAUUUAUAACGACAAGGUCCAGGGAAGCUAUAGUAGCACGGCCAAGACAAGUACGACAGCUUCUUCAAACUGUCGCUGUAACUGCGUUUUAUAAAAUAGUUCAGCAAUGAAGUACAAAGAUACACGAAUGGAAGUUAAAAGUAUGUACAUAUACCUCUUAAGGGCAGAUCAUGGAAGUUUUUUUUUGUCAGAUAUGCAACAGCAAUAUUUUCGACCAAAUUAUAGGUUAGGUUGAACAUAUUUACAUAAAGUCUUCUGACAAAAAUACUGGCUUCCACUUUUUGGUGAGUGGGUUUUGUUCUAGCAGGCUCUCUGAGAAGAUGAUUUAUUUCGAAACGACAGUUACUAUCGGAACUUCCCCGAGUAUAUACUAUUUUUGCAAGAACGUACCUAUAAACUUUCCACUAGUUCGUGGUAUCAGCGUGGCGCUGUAGUCUAUCUCGCUCCCAGUCUAUAUACCUAAUGUAUGGGACAGCCCGCCUACCGGUGUCAAUCUGUCCACUUAGCGAUCACAGUUUCCCAAAAGUCUCGUGAGAGUUUGAAGCGGUGUUCUUAUAGCUCCUCCUUCAGCUUCUCCGCUCUUUGUUCGACACUCGCUCUCAAACGUGCCGGAUUGGACCUCGUGUCAGGCUCGUGUGUCCGCCAAAAUGGCCAAGGGAAAUUCUUUGGAGAAUCAAGGGACCUGGUAUUUAACUGUUUUUACGGAAAGGGACGCAAGUAACGAAGAGAAAGAAUCAGUAGAGGCCAUCCCCGACUUCUGGAUACUUGAUGACAAGAAACAUGCUGUAUGGCCGCCAUUUAAAAACGAACGAAAAAUAAUAAAAGCCAUCGCAUCCAGCAAAACUCCUGACGAGUUGGCUUCUUUAUGAAGUGAAACAAAUUUAUUUAGAUGUUGCAUGUACUUCAUACGAAGAAGCUGCCAAAAAAGCGGAAUUAGCAGAGGACACAUCAGUUUUUAAUGAUGAAGAUCAGAAACUACAGAACCCCAACAAUCGCAAAUUCUAUAAAAGAAAGAAAGGUUCUAGCUCUGAUGAAGAUGAGGAAGAACAGCGAAUACGUAAUAAGAAGUUCAACAUAGGAGAAAACUCUAUUCCAACGUCCCCAACCUCACAGAAAGGCGAUAUUUACAAUCUACCAGCACAAAUCU